GGUCUGACUGGAUUGAUAACUUUGGAUCUCUUUGGAGCUCGUAUCAUUGACUCUGGUACUACAUAUUUACGACGUUUCUCGGGCUAGUUCGACGUACAACGCUCAUUCUCUGCGUUUUCUUGAGUUCGGUAAAAUCCGAGCUUAAUUAAGACAUGGAUAAGACAUGGAUGAAUUCAAACCGAUUGUCGAAAGAGUACGAGAAAGGGGUAUGGGAAUUCGUUAAGUUUGCGAUUGCACACGCCGAAGACCCGAUUCGAAUGACGUGUCCUUGCUUGGGUUGCUGUUAUGGGGGUAAGGUUGACGGGAAUCAGUUGGCAUCGCAUUUACUACGGUUUGGAAUUGAUAGAAGUUAUACAUGUUGGAAUUUGCAUGGUGAGAAA